GACGAACGCUGGCGGCGUGCCUAAUACAUGCAAGUCGAACGGUGAAGGAGGACCUUGCUCUGCUGGAUGAGUUGCGAACGGGUGAGUAACGCGUAAGUAACCUGCCUGGUAGCGGGGGAUAACUAUAGGAAACGAUAGCUAAUACCGCAUAACAGUAGAUGUUGCAUGACGUUUAUUGAAAAGGUGCAAUUGCAUUGCUACCAGAUGGGCCUGCGUUGUAUUUGCUAGUUGGUGGGGUAAAGGCGCACCAAGGCGACGAUACAUAGCGGAAGUGGGAGGGGGGUAGGCCCCCCUGGGAAUGGGACACGGCCCAGAACCCCACGGGAGGGAGCAGGAGGGAAUCUUCGGCAAUGGGGGGAAGUCUGAGCGAGCAAAGCCGGGUGAGUGAAGAAGGUUUUCGGAUCGGAAAGCUCUGUUGUAAGAGAAGAAAGAGUGUGAGAGUGGAAAGUUGGCACUGUGACGGUAUCUUACCAGAAAGCAACGGCUAACUACGUG
rnacentral:rRNA from 1 species